rnacentral:misc_RNA from 1 species
GAUGAAGAACGUAGCGAAAUGCGAUACGUAGUGUUAAUUGCAGAAUUCAGUGAAUCAUCGAAUCUUUGAACGCACAUUGCACCUCUCGGUAUUCCGGGAGGUAUGCCUGUUCGAGCGUCAUUUGUACCCUCAAGCUCUGCUUGGUGUUGGGUGUUUGUUCCGCCUCUGUGUGUGAACUCGCCUCAAAACAAUUGGCAGCCGGCGUACUUGUUUCGGAGCGCAGCACAUUUUGCGAUCCAGAUCAACGUACAGCGGCAUCCAAGAAGCCUUAUUUAACGCUCUUGACCUCGGAUCAGGUAGGGAUACCCGCUGAACUUAAGCAUAUCAAUAAGCGGAGGA